GUACACUCCUGCGGGAGGCAGCAGUGGGGAAUAUUGCACAAUGGGCGCAAGCCUGAUGCAGCGACGCCGCGUGGGGGAUGAAGGCCUUCGGGUUGUAAACUCCUUUCGCUAGGGACGAAGCUUUUUUGUGACGGUACCUAGAUAAGAAGCACCGGCUAACUACGUGCCAGCAGCCGCGGUAAUACGUAGGGUGCGAGCGUUGUCCGGAAUUACUGGGCGUAAAGGGCUCGUAGGGGGUUUGUCGCGUCGUCUGUGAAAUUCUGGGGCUUAACUCCGGGCGUGCAGGCGAUACGGGCAUAACUUGAGUGCUGUAGGGGUAACUGGAAUUCCUGGUGUAGCGGUGAAAUGCGCAGAUAUCAGGAGGAACACCGAUGGCGAAGGCAGGUUACUGGGCAGUUACUGACGCUGAGGAGCGAAAGCAUGGGUAGCGAACAGGAUUAGAUACCCCUGUAGUCCC
rnacentral:rRNA from 1 species